GCUGGUGUGGCGCAACGGUAGCGCAACUGUCUUGUAAACAGUAGGUUGCAGGUUCGAUUCCUGUCACCAGCACCA
rnacentral:tRNA from 2 species